rnacentral:tRNA from 1 species
GCCGGAGUGGUGGAAUUGGCAGACACGCGGGAUUUAGGUUCCCGUGCCGCAAGGCGUGAGGGUUCAAGUCCCUUCUCCGGCACCC